GUCCACGCCGUAAACGAUGGGCACUAGGUGUUCGGGGUAUUGACCCCCUGAGUGCCGCAGCUAACGCAUUAAGUGCCCCGCCUGGGGACUACGGCCGCAAGGUUAAAACUCAAAGGAAUUGACGGGGGCCCGCACAAGCGGUGGAGCAUGUGGUUCAAUUCGACGCAACGCGAAGAACCUUACCUGGGCUAGACAACAUCGGACCGCCCUAGAAAUAGGGUCUUCCCGCAAGGGACCGGUGGUUCAGGUGCUGCAUGGCUGUCGU
rnacentral:rRNA from 1 species